rnacentral:rRNA from 1 species
UUAGUUUGAUCCUGGUCAUAGCUGUUUCCUGACGGCAGGCCUAAUACAUGCAAGUCGAGGGGUAAGGUCUCUUUCGGGAGAUGCACGACCGGCGCACGGGUGCGUAACGCGUAUGCAACCUACCUUUAACAGAGGGAUAGCCCCGAGAAAUCGGGAUUAAUACCACAUAACACCACAUUGUUUCAUAACACGGUGGUUAAAGCUCCGGCGGUUAAAGAUGGGCAUGCGUGACAUUAGCUAGUUGGUGAGGUAACUGCUCACCAAGGCAACGAUGUCUAGGGGGUCUGAGAGGAUGAUCCCCCACACUGGUACUGAGACACGGACCAGACUCCUACGGGAGGCAGCAGUAAGGAAUAUUGCGCAAUGGAGGCAACUCUGACGCAGCCAUGCCGCGUGAAGGAAGAAGGCCUUAUGGGUCGUAAACUUCUUUUAUUUAGGAAUAACCCCCUGCUCGUGAGCAGGGCUGAAGGUACUAAACGAAUAAGCACCGGCUAACUCUGUGCCAGCAGCCGCGGUAAUACGGAGGGUGCAAGCGUUAUCCGGAUUUAUUGGGUUUAAAGGGUGCGCAGGCGGACCAAUAAGUCAGUGGUGAAAUCCCGGGGCUCAA